UACAGAGGGUGCUAGCGUUGUUCGGAAUCAUUGAGCGUAAAGGGCGUGUAGGCGGUUUGUUAAGUCAUGUGUGAAAUCCCUCGGCUCAACUGAGGAGCGUCGAUCGAAACUGCCGUUCUUGAGGGUUGCAGAGGAGACUGGAAUUCCCGGUGUAGCGGUGAAAUGUGUAGAGAUCGGGAAGAAUACCAGUGGCGAAGGCGACAUCCUGGACCAACACUGACGCUGAGGAGCGAAAGCCAGGGGAGCAAACGGG
rnacentral:rRNA from 1 species